rnacentral:rRNA from 1 species
AGAGUUUGAUCCUGGCUCAGAACGAACGCUGGCGGCGUGCCUAACACAUGCAAGUCGCGCGAGAAAGCGGGGGCAACUCCGUGAGUACAGCGGCGCACGGGUGAGUAAUACGUAGGUAACCUACCUCCGAGACCGGGAUAACCUUCCGAAAGGAGGGCUAAUACUGGAUGAGACCACGGAGCCUCGGCUCUGCGGUCAAAGGUGGCCUCUACUUGUAAGCUACCACUCAGGGAUGGGCCUGCGCACCAUUAGCUAGUUGGCGAGGUAACGGCUCACCAAGGCGAAGAUGGUUAGCUGAUCUGAGAGGAUGAUCAGCCACACUGGGACUGAGACACGGCCCAGACUCCUACGGGAGGCAGCAGUGGGGAAUCUUGGACAAUGGGGGAAACCCUGAUCCAGCGACGCCGCGUGGGUGAUGAAGGCCUUCGGGUCGUAAAGCCCUGUCGAAGGGGAAGAAACUCUUGCCGGUAAAUAAUCGGCGAGAUUGACGGUACCCUUAAAGGAAGCACCGGCUAACUCUGUGCCAGCAGCCGCGGUAAGACAGAGGGUGCUAGCGUUGUUCGGAAUUACUGGGCGUAAAGGGCGCGUAGGCGGUCCGCUAAGUUCGGCGUGAAAUCCCCUGGCUCAACUGGGGAACUGCGCUGGAUACUGGUGGACUCGAGUACCGGAGAGGAGAGUGGAAUUCCUGGUGUAGCGGUGAAAUGCGUAGAUAUCAGGAGGAACACCGGUGGCGAAGGCGGCUCUCUGGACGGAUACUGACGCUGAGGCGCGAAAGCGUGGGGAUCAAACAGGAUUAGAUACCCCAGUAGUCC